rnacentral:lncRNA from 10 species
AAUGACUUGAACCCGGGAGGCGGAGCUUGCAGUGAGCAGAGUUCGCGCCACUGCACUCCAGCCUGGGCGACAGAGCAAGACUCCAUCUCAAAAAAAAAAAAAAAAACCUUGGCUGGCUGGGUGCAGUGACUAACGCCUAUAAUCCCAGCACUUUAGGAGGCUGAGGCAGGUGGAUCACCUGAGGUCAGGAGUUCGAGACCAGCCUGACCAACAUAGAGAAACCCCAUCUCAACUAAAAAUACAAAAUUAGCGGGGCGUGGUUGUAGGCGCCUGUAAUCCCAGGUACUCAAGAGGCUGAGGCAGGAGAAUCACUUGAACUAGGUUGGUGGAGGUUGCGGUGAGCCGAGACCACGCCAUUGCACUCCAGCCUGAGCAAUAAGAGCAAAAUUCCGUCUCCAAAAAAAAAAAAAAAAAAAUUAGCCAGGCGAGGUAGGUGGGCGCCUUAAUCCCAGCUACUCAGGAGGUUGAGGCAGGAGAGUGGCUUGAACCCAGGAGGCGAGGUUGCAGUGAGCCGAGAUUACACCACUGCACUCCAGCCUGGGCAACAAAGCGAGGCUCUGUCUCAAAAAAAAAAAUAAAAAAUAAAAACCAAACCAGGUCUUUCCUGGAAGAAGUCCCAAAAGUUAAGAAAAAAAACAAAACAAAACUGGCGAGCGCGGUAGCUCACGCCUGUAAUCUCAGCACUUUGGGAGGCCAAGGUGGGCAGAUCACGAGGUCAGGAGUUCAAGACCAGUCUGGCCAAGGAGUUUGAGACCAGUCUGGCCAAUAUGGUGAAACCCCGUCUCUACUAAAAAUACAAAAAUCAGCUGGGCACAGUUGCACACGCCUGUAGUCGCAGCUACUCGGGAGGUUGAGGCAGGAGAAUUGCUUGAACCCAGGAGGCGGAGGUUGCAGUGAGCCGAGGUCGCAUCACCGCACUCCAGCCUGGGUGACAGAGCGAGAGUCUGUCUCAAAAAAAGAAAGAAGAAAGAAAAAAAAAAAACUUGACCUGUUGCAGUGGCUCACACCUGUAAUCCCAGUACUUUAGAAGGCCAAGGUGGGACGAUCACUUGAGCUCAGGAGUUGGAGACCAGCCUGGGCAACAUAUCAAGACCUCAUCUCUACUAAAAUUCAAAAAUAUUAGCCAGGCAUGGUGGUGCACGCCUGUAGUCCCAGCUACUAGGGGGGCUAAGACAGGAGGAUGGCUUGAGCCUUGGAACUUGAGACUGCAGUGAGCCUUGAUCAUGCCACUGUACUUCAGUGUGGGUAACAGAGUGAGACCCUGUCUCAAAACAAAAACAAAAACAAAAAACCAGGUUUCUGUGAAAUAUAUACAGUAGUUCUCAUUCCUAACAGCAUUUUUCCAUAAUAUUUCUUAAAAUAUCUAUAACUUUUUUCCUCUUACUCAAAUUUUCCUCAAGGAUCUUUCUGCUUUAUUUCUCCCUCAGUUGAUGGGUUAUAUAGGGGGAGUGAUUACUUAGAGGUGCACUGUGAAUUUUUCUUUCCUCAGUAAAAAAGCCAAACACCUACAGAAUAAAAUCCAAAAUCAAUGACACUGCACUCAAGACCUCUGACACUAGGCCGGGCACGAUCUCACACCUGUAAUCCCAGCACUUUAGGAGGCCAAGACGGGAGGAUCACUUGAGGUCAGGAGUUCAAGACCAGCCUGGCCAACAUGGUGAAACCCCAUAUCUACUAAAAAUACAAAAAAUUAGCUGGGCAAGGUGGUGCACACCCUGUAGUCUCAGCUACUUGGGAGGCUGAACCCAGGAGGCGAAGGUUGCAGUGAGCCGAGAACAUGCCACUGCCCUCCAGCCUGGGCAACAGAGCGAGACUCCAUCUCAGAAGAAAAAAAAAAAAAAAAAAAGACCUCUGACCCUCACUUAGCCUCUCACCAUGUCCCAUCAUAAAACCUAUUCUAUUUUUCUCCUGAUCCUUUCAACAGGAACAAAGCCUGUUUGUAAACUACCCAGGCUUGCUCCUCCUUCCUUGAAUAUGCCCUAAUUCUCCAGCCCCAUGUCUUUCCUAGUACAAUUUUUCUUUCUUUUUGGCCUAAACCAUUUGUGCAAACAUCUCAGGAUGAUUUCUUCUCUUGGGAAUAUGCUCUCCCUGUCUAUCUCCCUCAUAUCCACUUGCGGAAAUUCUACUGGGCCUGUCAAGUCCAGAUUUAGCUCCCUCCACCAUGAAGCAACUGUGUCUUUCUCACAGCUCAUUGAAACUUCUAAAGUCCUGAUCAUGUUUUGCCCAACACACAGUAAACACUCUUCAGUCUGGUGGCUCCAGAUCCUAGGAUGCUUUCUGAUAAAUACUGAGGAACUGAACCAACUCUGAUCAAAAAUCACAGAACUGGCCCGGCGCAGUGGCUCACGCCAGUAAUCCCAGCAUCUUGGGAGGCCGAGGCAGGCGGAUCACGAGGUCAGCAGCUCAAGACCAGCCUCAGCAACAUAGCGAAACCCCAUCUCUACUAAACAUACAAAAAUUAGCUGGGUGUGGUGGCGGGCGCCUGCAGUCCCAGCUACUUGGGAGGCUGCAGCAGGAGAAUCGCUUGAAACCAGGAGUCGGAGGUUGCAGUGAGCUGA